AGACUAUGAUGAUUCUCUGAGGAAGUCAUGCACCACUCUGAUUUUCUGUGAAUGAAAAAUUUCUCAUACCCAAUAUAUCUGAGCCU